rnacentral:rRNA from 1 species
CCUACGUGUGGCAGCAGUGAGGAAUAUUGGUCAAUGGCCGUAAGGCUGAACCAGCCAAGUAGCGUGAGGGAAGACUGCCCUAUGGGUUGUAAACUUCUUUUAUCAAGGAAUAAAACGAGGCACGUGUGCCUUUUUGCAUGUACUUUAUGAAUAAGGCUCGGCUAACUCCGUGCCAGCAGCCGCGGUAAUACGGAGGAGCCGAGCGUUAUCCGGAUUUAUUGGGUUGAAAGGGUGCGUAGGCGGACUGUUAAGUCAGCGGUAAAAGCCCGGGGCUCAACCCCGGCGAGCCGUUGAAACUGGCUGUAUUGAGAUGUCGAGAGGUAUGCGGAAUGCGCAGUGUAGCGGUGAAAUGCUUAGAUAUUGCGAAGAACUCCGAUUGCGAAGGCAGCAUACCGGCGGCGAUCUGACGCUGAGGCACGAAAGCGUGGGUAUCGAACAGGAUUAGAUACCCUUGUAGUC